GAUGAACGCUGGCGGCGUGCCUAAUACAUGCGAGUCGAGCGAACGGACGAGAAGCUUGCUUCUCUGAUGUUAGCGGCGGACGGGUGAGUAACACGUGGAUAACCUACCUAUAAGACUGGGAUAACUUCGGGAAACCGGAGCUAAUACCGGAUAAUAUUUUGAACCGCAUGGUUCAAAAGUGAAAGACGGUCUUGCUGUCACUUAUAGAUGGAUCCGCGCUGCAUUAGCUAGUUGGUAAGGUAACGGCUUACCAAGGCAACGAUGCAUAGCCGACCUGAGAGGGUGAUCGGCCACACUGGAACUGAGACACGGUCCAGACUCCUACGGGAGGCAGCAGUAGGGAAUCUUCCGCAAUGGGCGAAGGCCUGACGGAGCAACGCCGCGUGAGUGAUGAAGGUCUUCGGAUCGUAAAACUCUGUUAUUAGGGAAGAACAUAUGUGUAAGUAACUGUGCACAUCUUGACGGUACCUAAUCAGAAAGCCACGGCUAACUACGUG
rnacentral:rRNA from 1 species